GACAGAGGGGGCAAGCGUUGCUCGGAAUUACUGGGCGUAAAGGGCGCGUAGGCGGGAUGGCAAGUCGGUCGUGAAAUCCCUCGGCUCAACCGAGGAACGUCGAUCGAUACUGCUGUUCUUGAGGAUUGCAGAGGAGACUGGAAUUCCCGGUGUAGCGGUGAAAUGUGUAGAGAUCGGGAGGAACACCGGUGGCGAAGGCGGGUCUCUGGGCCGUAACUGACGCUGAGGAGCGAAAGCAUGGGGAGCGAACAGG
rnacentral:rRNA from 1 species